CUGUAAUUUAUUUAAAGUCGCACAUAUACCGUCACAUCUGCCUGGGUGCCGUGCCUUUGGGCUUCGGUUGGCUGGUGGGGUAUAUGGAGGCCUAAC
rnacentral:sRNA from 1 species